AAGCAUCGACACCACGACUCCAGGCAGC
rnacentral:sRNA from 1 species